rnacentral:rRNA from 1 species
GAUGAACGCUGGCGGCGUGCCUAAUACAUGCAAGUCGAGCGAACAGACGAGGAGCUUGCUCCUCUGACGUUAGCGGCGGACGGGUGAGUAACACGUGGAUAACCUACCUAUAAGACUGGGAUAACUUCGGGAAACCGGAGCUAAUACCGGAUAAUAUAUUGAACCGCAUGGUUCAAUAGUGAAAGACGGUUUUGCUGUCACUUAUAGAUGGAUCCGCGCCGCAUUAGCUAGUUGGUAAGGUAACGGCUUACCAAGGCAACGAUGCGUAGCCGACCUGAGAGGGUGAUCGGCCACACUGGAACUGAGACACGGUCCAGACUCCUACGGGAGGCAGCAGUAGGGAAUCUUCCGCAAUGGGCGAAAGCCUGACGGAGCAACGCCGCGUGAGUGCUGAAGGUCUUCGGAUCGUAAAACUCUGUUAUUAGGGAAGAACAAAUGUGUAAGUAACUAUGCACGUCUUGACGGCACCUAAUCAGAAAGCCACGGCUAACUACGUG